rnacentral:lncRNA from 1 species
UGGUUCAGCCUUAAUUGCCUACAUCUAGUGUCCUUUCAAUUAACCGUAUAUUGAUAGCCAAUUGGACUAUAAAGAUCUGAGUUUUUCAACAAGGGCUUUACAACGACCAAUUCUAUGAAAAUGCAAAUCACCUAUCUAACUCAUUGAUCUAAUAUAGCCAAAUAUAAAAGACCUGCAACAAGAACAAUCUUCUCUUGCAG